CUUGCCGGCUUGCCGCACCUCACUAGCAAGUCCGUUUCUACAAUGGCACUAGGAUUCCAGAGUGUACUGAAAACCAGCUGAGACAUCCAGCCCCGUGGACUGAGCAGCUCCAACCUGCCAUACAUAGACAGCCUUUGUUGGACUAGCUAAACCAGAGCCUGUGAGUCAUUCUAAUUCAUGAAUCUAUAUUAAUGAUUCUAUAUACAGAGAGAGGUGCCUUCUGUAAGUUCUGUUGCUCUAGAGAACCCUGAUGAAGACAGAUGGUCAGUUCCUCCUACCCCACUCUGGCCUUACAGCGAGCUAGUCUGAGCUCCGCCUCAGACCCCUGCACAAGGUUUCCUCUGCUCACUCUGCUGCCUGCUUGAGAUGUGGAUGUGUGGCCCCACCUGGACAUCCUACAAGCCUGGCAGGGUGUUGGGACUGUCCUAUAAAACUCCACAUCCUACAACCUGACAGCUACAGCGGAGAUGUGCCCCAAGAGCAGGAUCAAUAGACAUCUUCCCAACAUGUAAAUUCUUUGGCCACUGGGUGAGCUUUAAAGUGCAUCUUUGUAUUUAUAUGAUUUUCUUUUUUUUACUUGCGAAUGAUGAGAUGACUCCACCCCUGUCCCCUAAAGUCCCAAGUCCCUGUUAGCAGCAUUGAACAGGAGUCUGGACCUCAGGAGCUGACUUUGGUUUCCCUUUGGGGAGGGGACUUCAGAACACAUGCCAUGUCUCAGACUCUGACCUGCUCUUCUGUUUUUUAAAAGAUUCUCUUCCUAUCAUCUUUUGACUUCAUGUGAGUAUGGGAAAGCUUGAGCGAGGUGGGGGUUGGGGGAAACACAGCUGCUAUCCUGGCACUUGGGUGGUGCAGGCCUAAGAUUAGAAGUUCAAGGUUCUUUCAGGCUACACAGUGCGUGUGAGGCCAGACGAGGCUACAUGGACACUUGGAGAGCUUUGGCAAGAAAAGGGAGUUAUGGGUUAGAAGGGUGGAGAGUGGUUCUGAGACUGAGUCACCACUGUCUUCAGCUCUCACCAUAGCAACCCGUACAUUCAUUCUCAGUUUAGUCAGGUCCCAGGAAGAGGGGCUGGCGCCUUCUCCCUAUACUGCUAACCGCAGUUUCUUUCCUUCUUACUUAGCUCCCAAGGCAAUCUCAGUGCAGUUUCUGUUUCUGUUUUUAUGAGGUCCACCCCUCUGCAAAAUCACCUGAUCACUGGUGAGAACGAAGGAGUGAACACUCUCACACACGGCCUGUGUUUAGAUGUGAAUGUCCUUUAACCCAGUUAUCUACUUAUACAAAUAGCAUAAGGAUAAUCUCAAAUGCAGGCAGACUGUGAUUAUUAUAUAAUCUGCGACAGGUGAGCCCUCAUUAAGCAAGGCUGUGAGGGACUAAUUUUAGGAAAGAUUCCUGUUAUUAAUAUGCUUUUCCUGUAAUUGUUAAACAUGUAUAACAAUCACUAAGUAGUAGUAUAUCCCUUUGGAGCAGAUCUCUGCAGAUCCACAAAGAUGUACUAUCUUGUAAUGAUGCUAUAUAGACAAAUAAAUGACUUAAGUCUUAAUGAUUGUAUUAGUCAGGGUUCUCUGGAGUCACAGAACUUAUGGAUAGUCUCUAUAUAGUAAAGGAACUUAUUGAUGACUUACAGUCUGAUUAUUUCCUUUUCCCUCUGAAAUUUCACAAGCCAGGCCUCCGUCUUCUGCACUGUUCUCAACAUUAUCUUCCAAGCUCCUACACAACAUCUGACAGAGCUCUUAACACCGAAUGGAUCUUCUGGCCCAAGUUCCAAAAACCUUCCACAGUCCUCCCCAAAACAUGAUCAGGUUGUCACAGGAAUACCCCACUCCUGGUACCAAUUUGUCUUAGUCAGGGUUUCUAUUCCUGCACAAACAUCAUGACCAAGAAGCAAGUUGGGGAGGAAAGGGUUUAUUCAGCUUACACUUCCAUACUGCUGUUUAUCACCAAGGAAGUCAGGACUGGAACUCAAACAGGUCAGGAAGCAGGAGCUGAUGCAGAGGCCAUGGAGCAAUGUUCUUUACUGGCUUGCUUCUCCUGGCUUGCUCAGCCUGCUUUCUUAUAGAACCCAAGACUACCAGCCACAAGGGGCCUUUCCCCCUUGAUCACUAAUUGAGAAAAUGCCUUACAGUUGGAGCUCAUAGAGGCAUUUCCUCAACUGAAGCUCCUUUCUCUGUGAUAACUCCAGCUGUAUCAAAUUGACACAAAACCAGCCAGUACAAUGAUGAUCCUAUAAGAAUUCCUAAAAUUAUAUCUGUGAUUAUUAAGCUCUUUUAGAAUGGGACUGCUGUUAAGUCCUCUUUUGAUAAGUCAAAGCUGCAAUGAGAACUCUGCCAGUCUUCCAAGUAUCACCAGUUAAUUGCUCUUAGAUGGUAACAAGACUUUCUCCUACUCAGAGCACAUUCCAAAAGGUCAUAAAACAAUUAACCAAAGGCCAUAAAAAGGGAACUAAUGAUUUAUUAUGGGUACUAGGACAGAAGAUAAAAUCCUGUCUGGGUUUAUCUAUACAAAACUUCACUAAUAACUUAGUUACGGUUUUAAACCUUCAGUGAGCCUGUGGAGCUCAGACAGGUGAUGGAUGUUUAGCUAGAUAGUUACUCCUAAUGGAUAAGCAUGUAAACAUUUGCCGGUGUAAACUUCUGUUUCAAUUUAUGAUUUGAUUUUGUGUGUGAACUUGUGAUGCACUUUGUAACAUGUGAUCAUGUAUUCUGAAUGAUGUUUAAGAGCAGAGGACAAAGAGAAGAGUCAGAACUGGGGACAGGGGUGAGAGGAACCGAGGUGAGAAGAACUGAGCUGAGAGAGAAACUGAGCUGAGGAGAAGUUUUUAGACAGAACAUUUUUUAGAUUAGAAGAAGAAUGCAGAGUGGAGUAACUUAGAAAUGAUAGGUCACAUAAAAUACUAAGAGAGCAAUGUGCAGAAUGCAGAGGAAAAGAGGAAGAAAGAGGAUGUCGCAGAGAGCAGAAGGAGCAGGCAGGCUUCUCCUUAUCAUGGGACAGAACAGGCCCCAUGGUAAGGACAAGGCAGGUUUAGUCUUAUUAAAAGAAACAAAGCUUUUUUUUCUUACAAACAUGGGUUUAAUUCAUUUAACAUUAAAAAGGGUAGAAGCCUUUUCUUUCUCUAUGUAAUAAAGAUUGGAAUGC
rnacentral:lncRNA from 1 species